rnacentral:rRNA from 1 species
AUUGAACGCUGGCGGCAUGCCUUACACAUGCAAGUCGAACGGCAGCACGGGGGCAACCCUGGUGGCGAGUGGCGAACGGGUGAGUAAUGCAUCGGAACGUACCCGGAAGUGGGGGAUAACGUAGCGAAAGUUACGCUAAUACCGCAUAUUCUGUGAGCAGGAAAGCAGGGGAUCGCAAGACCUUGCGCUUUCGGAGCGGCCGAUGUCGGAUUAGCUAGUUGGUGAGGUAAAGGCUUACCAAGGCGACGAUCCGUAGCUGGUCUUAGAGGAUGAUCAGCCACACUGGGACGGAGACACGGCCCAGACUCCUACGGGAGGCAGCAGUGGGGAAUUUUGGACAAUGGGCGAAAGCCUGAUCCAGCCAUGCCGCGUGAGUGAAGAAGGCCUUCGGGUUGUAAGGCUCUUUCGGACAGAAAGAAAUCGCCAUUUCUAAUACAGAUGGUGGAUGACGGUACUGUAAGAAGAAGCACCGGCUAACUACGUGCCAGCCGCCGCAGUAA